rnacentral:rRNA from 1 species
GAUGAACGCUGGCGGCGUGCCUAAUACAUGCAAGUCGAGCGAACGGACCAUAAGCUUGCUGCGCUGAUGUUAGCGGCGGACGGGUGAGUAACGCGUGUAUAACCUACCUAUAAUACGGGGAUAACUUCGAGAAACGGGAGCUAAUACCGUAUAAUAUUUUGAACCGCAUGGGUCAUAGGUAAAAUACGGUCUUGCUGGCACGUAUAGAUGCAUCCGCGCUGCAUUAGCUAGUUGGUAGGGUAACGGCUUACCAAGGCAACGAGGCAUAGCCGAAGUGAGAGGGUGAUCGGCCACAUUAGAGCUGAGCCACGGUCAAGGGUCCUAAGGGAGGGAGCAGUAGGGAACGUUACGCAGUGGGCGAAAACAUGACGGAGUAAGGCGGAGCGAGUGAUGGAGGCGUUGGGAUCGUGAAGAUCUGUUAUUAGGGAAGAACAUAUGUGUAAGUAGCUGUGCAGAUCUUGACGGUAACUAAUCAGAAAGCAACGGCUAACUACGUG